rnacentral:rRNA from 1 species
GACGAACGCUGGCGGCGUGCUUAACACAUGCAAGUCGAACGGAAAGGCCCUGCUUUUGUGGGGUGCUCGAGUGGCGAACGGGUGAGUAACACGUGAGUAACCUGCCCUUGACUUUGGGAUAACUUCAGGAAACUGGGGCUAAUACCGGAUAGGAGCUCCUGCUGCAUGGUGGGGGUUGGAAAGUUUCGGCGGUUGGGGAUGGACUCGCGGCUUAUCAGCUUGUUGGUGGGGUAGUUGCUUACCAAGGCUUUGACGGGUAGCCGGCCUGAGAGGGUGACCGGCCACAUUGGGCCUGAGAUACGGCCCAGACUCCUACGGGAGGCAGCAGUGGGGAAUAUUGCACAAUGGGCGGAAGUCUGAUGCAGCAACGCCGCGUGCGGGAUGACGGCCUUCGGGUUGUAAACCGCUUUCGCCUGUGACGAAGCGUGAGUGACGGUAAUGGGUAAAGAAGCACCGGCUAACUACGUG